UACGUAGGGUGCAAGCGUUGUCCGGAAUUAUUGGGCGUAAAGAGCUCGUAGGCGGUUUGUCGCGUCUGCUGUGAAAAUCCAGGGCUUAACCCUGGACCUGCAGUGGGUACGGGCAGACUGGAGUGCGGUAGGGGAGAUCGGAAUUCCUGGUGUAGCGGUGAAAUGCGCAGAUAUCAGGAGGAACACCAACGGCGAAGGCAGCACUCUGGGCCGGUACUGACGCUGAGGAGCGAAAGCGUGGGGAGCAAACGGG
rnacentral:rRNA from 1 species